AUGAACGCUAGCGGCAGGCUUAAUACAUGCAAGUCGAGGGGCAGCAUGGUGUAGCAAUACACUGAUGGCGACCGGCAAACGGGUGCGGAACACGUACGCAACUUACCCAAAACUGGGGAAUAGCCCGGGGAAACCCGGAUUAAUACCUCGUAACAUAAUGAAGUGGCAUCACUUUAUUAUUAUAGCUCCGGCGGCUUUAGAUGGGUGUGCGGCUGAUUAGAUAGUUGGCGGGGGUAACGGCCCACCAAGUCCUACGAUCAGUAACUGGUGUGAGAGCACGACCAGUCACACGGGCACUGAGACACGGGCCCGACUCCUACGGGAGGCAGCAGUAAGGAAUAUUGGUCAAUGGACGCAAGUCUGAACCAGCCAUGCCGCGUGAAGGAUGAAGGUCCUCUGGAUUGUAAACUUCUUUUAUAUUGGGAAGAAAUCUAUCUUUUCUUGGGUGGCUGACGGUACCAUAGGAAUAAGCACCGGCUAACUCCGUGCCAGCAGCCGCGGUAAUACGGAGGGUGCAAGCGUUGUUCGGAUUCACUGGGGUUAAAGGGUAGCGUAGGUGGUCGAGUAAGUCAGUGGUGAAAGCUCCAGGCUUAACCCUGGAAAGCUGCCAGGGGAGACUUGCCGGCUGGAGGACGGUGAGAGGAGCAGCGGAAUAUGUCAGGUGUAGCGGUGAAAUGCUUAGAUAUGAGAUCGGAGGAAGGCCAGUGGCGAAGGCGGCGCUCUGGCUACAGGCCAUUGACACUGAGGCUCGAAAGCGUGGGGAGCAAACAGGAUUAGAUACCCUGGUAGUCCACGCCCUAAACGAUGGACACUACGUGCGGCGGAUUGCCGACGGUGCAGUGCUGAGCUAAAGCAGUAAGUAGUCCCAGCCUGGGAAGUACGAGCCGCAAGAUUGAAACUCAAAGGAAUUGACGGGGGCCCGCACAAGCGGUGGAGCAUGUGGUUUAAUUCGAUGCAUACGCGAAGGAACCUUACCCAUGGCUAGAAUGUCAGUGGACUGUGGGUGAAAGCUCACUUUGUAGCAAUACACCGCUGAUAAGGUGCUGCAUGGCUGUCGUCAGCUCGUGCCGCGAGGUGUUGGGUUAAGUCCCGCAACGAGCGCAACCCCCAUCACUAGUUGCCAUCAGGUAACGCUGGGAACUCUAGUGAAACUGCCGUCGUAAGACGUGAGGAAGGAGGGGAUGAUGUCAAGUCAUCAUGGCCUUUAUGCCCAGGGCUACACACGUGCUACAAUGGAGUGUACAAAGAGCAGCAACACGGUGACGUGAAGCCAAUCUCAAAAAACACUUCUCAGUUCAGAUUGAAGUCUGCAACUCGACUUCAUGAAGCUGGAAUCGCUAGUAAUCGUAUAUCAGCAAUGAUACGGUGAAUACGUUCCCGGACCUUGCACACACCGCCCGUCAAGCCAUGGAAGCCGGGUGUACCUAAAGUCGGUAACCGUAAGGAGCCGCCUAGGGUAAAACUGGUGACUGGGGCU
rnacentral:rRNA from 1 species